CUGUUUUUUUUUUUUAAUAUUAUAGAUUUGAAUUUUUAUCUCUCAGUUCAGGAAACCACCCAAAGUUUGGAAUCUAUGAUUAGUUUUGGCCAUUAAUGAGUUCAAAAUCAACCUGGGAUUUUAAUAUUCUAAAUUUCCCUUGGCCCAAUUCUUCUCUGUUUGUUGUGAUGUUGAUGUUCUAUAUGAGCACCCCCUAUUACUAAUUGGAACUUCCUCUUAAACUUCUCCUAAAUUUGGUCUAAUGGCAUGCAUAAGCAAGUUCUGUUGGAUCUCCAUGUUUUAAAAAAUGUGUGAACACAAGGAUAUCUCUGUAUAAUUGAUGGUGUAUUUGGAGCUUUUGAGUUUUACUUCUCUCCCAAUUUAUUCUUUUUUUGAAUUAUUUCAAAGCUGUUUUCUUCAGGGUUGAAUGUCUUCAGGUUUUCUAAAGUUUCACUUGCUUUGUGGAAGUUUUAUUAUCAACAUAUCUGUGAUUUUCAAUUGUUGCCCUCUUCCAUUCUUUCUUUCCUUUACCUUCCUUAAUUUCUUCUCCUUAAUCAUAUACAAUUUUUCAUUCUUUUCACAUCUGAAAAUCUUUGCUUUAUUCUAGCCAUUCUUUUGUGCGUAAUCUAUCUUCAUUUCUUCCUUCCCUUUGACAAUCAGAAAAUAAUCCUAUCUACUAUACCAGAGCAUCAAAUAUAUAGUAAGUGCACAAUCAGAGAAGUAGAAGUGACAAAUUAAAUGAGUUUUAUAACAGGAUCCUCCCAGAAUACUUGGCAUCCAGCCAUGACUGCUAAUACAACAAUAGCCAGGUACUGGCUAAACUGGAGGUUCUUCCUUUGCACCAUUUGGGUCUUAAUGUCAAUAACUAUUGCAUCAAUUCUUAUAUGGAAAAAUGAAAACUUUCACAAAGCCGAAAGGGAUAAUGGAGAAAACAAGCAAGAAACCGAAGCAGAUUUGCUUGAUGAUGAAACCUGGAGACCAUGCCUAAAAGGAAUCCACCCAGCCUGGUUGCUAGUUUUCAGAGUUUUUGCUUUCUUUGUGCUUUUGGCGCUGCUGAUUGUUUUUGCUUUAGUGGACGGAGGCAGCAUAUUUUACUACUAUACUCAGUGGACAUUUACUUUAGUCACCAUUUACUUUAUGCUUGGAUCAUUUCUGUCCGUGCGCGGAUGUUACCUAUAUCACAGAAGAGUUUGUGGAGAUAAGGUUGAUAGCGUAGAGGUAGAUUCAGAGCAAGGAAACUGUGCUACUCCUACUUCUGCACCUGGAGAAAGUUCCAAUACUUCCAUAGAAAAGAGAAGCUCAAACUCCAAUGAACAAGUUGACAAGCGGCAACCUGCAGGGAAAUGGGCAUUUUUCUUUCAAAUAGUUUUCCAGAUGAAUGCAGGAGCUGUUAUGCUCACAGAUUGUGUAUUUUGGUUUGUAAUUGUUCCAUUCUUUGCAAUCAAGGAUUACCAUCUAACUGCUGUGAGUAUAUAUAUAUAUAUCAUUUUAGAACUAAAACCAAAUCGUAUAAUUCUCACUAGCUAGUAAUUUUUGUUUCUUUUCUUUAUGCUUCUUAAACAACGUGUUUGUUCUUUCUCUUGACAGUUGGUUAUAAGUAUGCAUUCCAUGAAUGCUAUUUUGUUACUAGGUGAUACUGCCUUAAAUUGCAUGGUAAGUUGCUUUUGCACAAGACUCCCUGCUUUGCAACUCUUUUCAGGAACAUCUUUCCAAUUUCAUUUGUUAUUAUUAUUUUUUUUCUGCUUCUCAGCGGUUUCCGUGGUUUCGGAUUGCAUAUUUCUACAUAUGGACAAUAACAUAUCUCCUGUUCCAGUGGCUUGUUCAUGCUUGUGUCAGACUAUGGUGGCCAUAUCCAUUCCUUGACUUGUCAUCUCCUUAUGCUCCUUUAUGGUACUUCUCUGUGGGAGUAAUGCACAUCCCAUGCUAUGGGAUAUUCGCUUUUAUUAUAAAGCUGAAACACACUCUGUUCUCAAGAUGGUUCCCUGAUUCCUAUCAAUGUCCAAGAUAGCCGAGGUUAAAGAGCCUAGGGAGCUAAACCAAUUUCAAACAUGUUGAAGAAAAUGUGAAUCAUCGUCAUAUAUAUGGAAAGUAACAGAAAUAGAAUAGAGAACAGAAGACCAGAGGUAACAUGUGAGAAUAGUGACAUCCUUUGUCAUCAGAAAAGGUAUAAAAAAAUCAUAUCAAUCAGCAAGUUUUGGAAUACACAAAAAUGGUCUAACAAGAAAGCAGCAAUCUUGAGCUUGUAUGGCCAUAGUUAGAGCAGCAUGAUUGUAAUUAUAUAUAGAUACUGAAAAGAAUUCAAAAUUCUCAUUUACUUAUGUUUAACUUUCUUCUUCUAGUUUUUCUUUUCUCCAAUGGAAAUUCAAUGACAACUCUCACUGAUUGGCUACUUUGUUCCUAUUUGAUUUACCAUCCUGGUGUUCAAUGCAACAUUCAAUGUAGCGAGUAUGUGUGUAACCAGAAGUAACGGUCCCAUAAAUCAUGGCCAAG
rnacentral:misc_RNA from 1 species